rnacentral:rRNA from 1 species
CUACGGGUCGCAGCAGUGAGGAAUAUUGCACAAUGGGGGGAACCCUGAUGCAGCAACGCCGCGUGGAGGAUGACGCAUUUCGGUGUGUAAACUCCUUUUAUAUGUCAAGAAAAUGACGGUAGCAUAUGAAUAAGCACCGGCUAACUCCGUGCCAGCAGCCGCGGUAAUACGGAGGGUGCAAGCGUUACUCGGAAUCACUGGGCGUAAAGGAUGCGUAGGCGGGUUGGAAAGUCAGGUGGUAAAUCCUACAGCUUAACUGUAGAACUGCACUUGAAACUUCUAAUCUAGAGUAUGGGAGGGGGAGAGGGAAUUAGUGGUGUAGGGGUAAAAUCCGUAGAUAUCACUAGGAAUACCUAAAGCGAAGGCGAUCUCCUGGAACAUUACUGACGCUAAGGCGUGAAAGCGUGGGGAGCAAACAGGAUUAGAUACCCCUGUAGUC